rnacentral:rRNA from 1 species
AUUGAACGCUGGCGGCAGGCCUAACACAUGCAAGUCGAGCGGAUGACGGGAGCUUGCUCCUUGAUUCAGCGGCGGACGGGUGAGUAAUGCCUAGGAAUCUGCCUGGUAGUGGGGGACAACGUUUCGAAAGGAACGCUAAUACCGCAUACGUCCUACGGGAGAAAGCAGGGGACCUUCGGGCCUUGCGCUAUCAGACUAGCCUCGGUCGGAUUAGCUAGUUGGUGGGGUAAUGGCUCACCAAGGCGACGAUCCGUAACUGGGCUGAGACGAUGAUCAGUCAACCUGGAACUGAGACACGGUCCAGACUCCUACGGGAGGAAGCAGUGGGGAAUAUUGGACAAUGGGCGAAAGCCUGAUCCAGCCAUGCCGCGUGUGUGAAGAAGGUCUUCGGAUUGUAAAGCACUUUAAGUUGGGAGGAAGGGCAGUAAGCUAAUACCUUGCUUUUUUGACGUUACCGACAGAAUAAGCACCGGCUAACUCUGUGCCAGCAGCCGCCGUAAAAC